AACGCUAGCGGCAGGCUUAACACAUGCAAGUCGAGGGGUAGAAGGAGCUUGCUCCUUUGAGACCGGCGCACGGGUGCGUAACGCGUAUGCAAUCUACCUUUGCAGAGGGAUAGCCCAGAGAAAUUUGGAUUAAUACCUCAUAGUAUGUGAGGAUGGCAUCAUUUUCACAUUAAAGUCACAACGGCAAAAGAUGAGCAUGCGUCCCAUUAGCUAGUUGGUAAGGUAACGGCUUACCAAGGCUACGAUGGGUAGGGGUCCUGAGAGGGAGAUCCCCCACACGGGUACUGAGACACGGACCAGACUCCUACGGGAGGCAGCAGUGAGGAAUAUUGGACAAUGGGCGCAAGCCUGAUCCAGCCAUGCCGCGUGCAGGAUGACGGUCCUAUGGAUUGUAAACUGCUUUUGUACAGGAAGAAACACUACUUCGUGAAGUAGCUUGACGGUACUGUAAGAAUAAGGAUCGGCUAACUCCGUG
rnacentral:rRNA from 1 species